rnacentral:tRNA from 1 species
CGGGUAUCGUAUAAUGGCUAUUACCUCAGCUUUCCAGGCUGAUGAUGUGGGUUCGAUUCCCGCCACCCGCUCUCCA